rnacentral:rRNA from 1 species
GUUUGAUCAUGGCUCAGAUUGAACGCUGGCGGCAGGCCUAACACAUGCAAGUCGAACGGUAACAGGAAGCAGCUUGCUGCUUUGCUGACGAGUGGCGGACGGGUGAGUAAUGUCUGGGAAACUGCCUGAUGGAGGGGGAUAACUACUGGAAACGGUAGCUAAUACCGCAUAACGUCGCAAGACCAAAGAGGGGGACCUUCGGGCCUCUUGCCAUCGGAUGUGCCCAGAUGGGAUUAGCUAGUAGGUGGGGUAACGGCUCACCUAGGCGACGAUCCCUAGCUGGUCUGAGAGGAUGACCAGCCACACUGGAACUGAGACACGGUCCAGACUCCUACGGGAGGCAGCAGUGGGGAAUAUUGCACAAUGGGCGCAAGCCUGAUGCAGCCAUGCCGCGUGUAUGAAGAAGGCCUUCGGGUUGUAAAGUACUUUCAGCGGGGAGGAAGGCGAUAAGGUUAAUAACCUUGUCGAUUGACGUUACCCGCAGAAGAAGCACCGGCUAACUCCGUGCCAGCAGCCGCGGUAAUACGGAGGGUGCAAGCGUUAAUCGGAAUUACUGGGCGUAAAGCGCACGCAGGCGGUCUGUCAAGUCGGAUGUGAAAUCCCCGGGCUCAACCUGGGAACUGCAUUCGAAACUGGCAGGCUAGAGUCUUGUAGAGGGGGGUAGAAUUCCAGGUGUAGCGGUGAAAUGCGUAGAGAUCUGGAGGAAUACCGGUGGCGAAGGCGGCCCCCUGGACAAAGACUGACGCUCAGGUGCGAAAGCGUGGGGAGCAAACAGGAUUAGAUACCCUGGUAGUCCACGCCGUAAACGAUGUCGACUUGGAGGUUGUGCCCUUGAGGCGUGGCUUCCGGAGCUAACGCGUUAAGUCGACCGCCUGGGGAGUACGGCCGCAAGGUUAAAACUCAAAUGAAUUGACGGGGGCCCGCACAAGCGGUGGAGCAUGUGGUUUAAUUCGAUGCAACGCGAAGAACCUUACCUACUCUUGACAUCCAGAGAACUUUCCAGAGAUGGAUUGGUGCCUUCGGGAACUCUGAGACAGGUGCUGCAUGGCUGUCGUCAGCUCGUGUUGUGAAAUGUUGGGUUAAGUCCCGCAACGAGCGCAACCCUUAUCCUUUGUUGCCAGCGGUCCGGCCGGGAACUCAAAGGAGACUGCCAGUGAUAAACUGGAGGAAGGUGGGGAUGACGUCAAGUCAUCAUGGCCCUUACGAGUAGGGCUACACACGUGCUACAAUGGCGCAUACAAAGAGAAGCGACCUCGCGAGAGCAAGCGGACCUCAUAAAGUGCGUCGUAGUCCGGAUUGGAGUCUGCAACUCGACUCCAUGAAGUCGGAAUCGCUAGUAAUCGUGGAUCAGAAUGCCACGGUGAAUACGUUCCCGGGCCUUGUACACACCGCCCGUCACACCAUGGGAGUGGGUUGCAAAAGAAGUAGGUAGCUUAACCUUCGGGAGGGCGCUUACCACUUUGUGAUUCAUGACUGGGGUGAAGUCGUAACAAGGUAACCGUAGGGGAACCUGCGGUUGGAUCACCUCCUUACCUUAAAGAA